CUGACCAGCUGCUGAAGGCCUCCAUGCAGGUCUGCCCUUACCUUCUGCAGUUGACUGAGCCUUAAAUGAAACUUUCUGUAGCCUCGCUGAAAGACAGGGGCAGGUGUUCGACAUCCUGUUCCUAAAAGGUGAGCCAAAUGACUACCCUGAAUGACCCACAUGUUUUUCUUUUCGGGGUUACCUGUUACACCUGUGUGUAUCUUUAACUCGGUAUCCUGCAGUAAUUUUACCCGUAGAGAGCGGCUGCAAAGACAGCACACGAUCACAGCACACACCCAGCACCACCCCACCCGGGUUUGCCUCUCAAAGAUGCAUGAGACAACUGUCAAACUGACAGAGGAACACAGCACUAACUGAGGCUACAGGACUUCACCUGGAUUUCACCCGUCUUUCACCGAUGUCCUUUUUCUACUCCAGGACCGGAUGCUGCAUCCUACAUGCCCUUACCGGUCACAUACCCUUAGUCUCCUCCGGUCUGUGACCGCUCCCUCCAUCUUUCCUUAUUUUGCAUGACCUUAAAAACUGAAGAGUAUUGGGUGGAUAUCUCAUGGAACCUCCCAUAAUUUGGGUCUUAAAUUUUCUUGGAUAGAGAGCAUGGAUUUUUGGAAGAGUAUCAAAGAGGUGAUGUGACCCUCUUAGCACAUACCAGAAGGUAUGUCAUUCCAUUAUUGGUGAUGUUAAACUCGACUGCUGGUGAAAGUCGCGUCUUCCAGGACUCCCCACUGCAAAAUUACUAUUGUUCCCUUUGUCAGUUAUUUGGGGAGAGACAUCUUGAGGCUAUGCAAACACCCUGUUUCUCCUUAAACUUUCGCUCAUUCAUUUUAGCAUCCACUGACCCUGCCUGGCCAUGAUCUCUGUACUGUGGUAAUGACAGCGAUGAUUUGCUAUUUCUCUCAUUCUUUCAACAUGUAAUAAUUAGAACUCUUCUCUAAGGAAGAGCUGUUUCUUUGAUCAUUUUUAUCAAUAACAGACUUGGUAUUUUUUAUUCCCUGGGUACUAAUCCAAUACUAUUGUUACCUAUUUCGUUGCUUAAAUUGUUCUAGUUUGGGCCACUGGAGCUCUUCGGAAAGGCUGGUUCCUGUAAGCAUUUCACCUGCACUUCCUUAUCCUCUGGCACCUCCGACUCAUCCUGUAUUUUCAUUGCCCCCACUCUAUAAUCAAUCAUUUCUCCAAGGAGUCCUGAUUCCUUUUAUUGGAGAAUGUUUAGAAACGAAGAUCUGAGUACUAGGUGUGUUCAGUUAUCAGGCGUCAUUAUCUGAAGGGUCUGUCGGUAGAGCCAGGAAAUAUAUGAGGUAUACUAUUCACGUGUAUAUACAUUUAUAUUUCUCUAUCUAUAUAUGUUAAGAAAGUAAGUUCAUACUGAAACUUCCAACAAUAGACCAGAAACACAGUGUUCACUGUAGCCUUCCUUCCCCAACCCCCAACCACCUUGCUUAUUUGUAAGUUUUUCCCCCCCAACAACGAAAAACCCGGCUUUAUCUACAAUGUAUUCGCUGUUUGAGUGUUGUCUAACAAAUGUACCAUCUUGAGCACAACCACUUCCUAAUUUUUUUGUUUUCUUUAUCUAGAGUUAAAACCGUUUCCAAAGUUACUGAGAGCUCCUUCCCCGUCCCCUUCUGGAUCAUCCUGUCACAGACUUGUACAACAAUCAUAUUCAUGAGUCACAGUCUGUAUUCCAUCUGCAGUUCCCCUGGAAUCCUGGUUGAUUUUUAACUGCAUAUAGUAAAACCACUCUUUGUACAGUUUUAUGAGUUUUAACAGAAGCAUGGACUCAUAUGUACAUCCACCAGCACAGGAUCACAGUAUAGUUCCAUCGCCUCAAAAAUUCACCUCAAAUACCCUUUGCAGUCAACUCCUCUCUCCAUCCCUGGCAACCACUGAUCUGUUUUGCAUUUUGCAGAAUGAAACAGAAAUGGAAUCACAUGCUAUGUAGUCUUUUGGAUCCAGCUUCUUUCACUAAGCAAAACUCAUUUAAGAUCAUCUAUACUGCUGUGAAUAAGUGGCUUGUCCCUUUUUAUUGCUGAGCAGUACUCCUUUGUCUGGAUGUACCACAGUGUGUAUAUCCAUCCAUUCUUCUGUUGGAAGGACACCUAGGUCGUUCUCAGUUUUUGGCAACUGUGAAAAAUACAGAUUUCUGUAAGCACAGUCAGUUCUCAGUUCACUUGUGUAAAUUCUCUAGGAGAGGACUGUUGGGUUGUAUGACAAGUAUAUAUUUAACUUUGUAAGACGUUGCUGAUCUGUUUUCCCAAGUGGUGUGUGACUUUGCAUUUUAAGCAUGAAUAUACGAGGGUUCUUGUUGCUCUGCAUCCUUGUCAGAACUUGGCAUUUUAGAAUGCUGGGUUUUUGUUUUGUUUUUAAGUAGGCCUCAGCGGGCCUUGAACUCACCUUGAACUCUUAUA